rnacentral:lncRNA from 1 species
CCUCGUUUUGGUCUUCUUGAAGUCCCGGUUCACGGUGCCGUCUUCUUUCUUGAUUCCCUCGAUCCUGAACCCCAGGGUGGCCGUGGAGCUGAUGGUCUCCCGCCACUGCAUGUACCGUGGCUUGGUCACAGCCCGCUGUGCUUUUUCCUCCUCGGUGGGGGCCUCGGGGUCCACCUCGAUCAUCUUCUGGUACAUGUCCUUCCGCAGGCUG